AUUAAUAAACGGAAGUUACUGGAGAUCCGUUUUUCGUUAGGACAAUAAGCCUUUAAAUUAUGUAGUAAAUAAUGGUCCACACACAAAUUCUUCAAGUUGCGAUAUUUUUAUCCAUGCUUAAGCACAUUGUGCUCAGAGAAUUGAAGUGUGGAAAACCAGGUCAUUCUCCUAUUUGUCCAUACUUUCCAACACAGGAGUCCUAUUACGAAGGUGACAAAGUUAUUUACUAUUGUAGAGAAAGAAAUAGAUGCUAUUCUAACGAUAACCAAACUAGAACAUGCCUUCAAACUGGUACUUGGUCUGGAAAGGUUCCUUUAUGUUAUGUUGCAAUGACAAUUAAAGAUAUUUUGCUCACCCCACCUAUAUCUGGAUCAAAUUUUAACUUUUUAAUUGACUCUAAUAGAACUACCUGUAUUCAAAGCAAUUCUACAACUAUAGCUGUUUGGGAAAUUCUCAUUGAAAAGAUUUCACCUAUAAAAAUGAUAAAAGUGGAUUUAUUAACUGAUUCACCCUUGAAUGUUGAUAUUUUGGUAAUUGGAAAGAAUAAAACAUCUUUAUGUGGAAGAGCUGAGAGUUAUUUAGGCUCUGGAUCUUCCUUAAUUGUGGUGUGUCCAUCAGGAUUAGAAGGAAAUUCUAUUCGAAUGACACAAAGAUCUUAUCCAGAGAUGAUUUUUAAACUUUGUGAAAUUAGUGUGUUUUCUUCAUAUGGAGUUGCAGCGUGCUUAAAAGCAGAUACUCCUUUGAAUGCUCGUGGACAGAAACAAGUUGGAACAGAGUCAACAAUGUAUGUCUUUACUUGCAAUCAAGGAUAUGAAUUGAUGGGCGAAAAGUCAGUUCACUGUCAAUCGAAUGGAAGUUGGAGCUCAACCUCUGCAGUUUGCAUAAAAAAAAAUAUAUGUGAAAGUUUGCCGCAUGUUGCCAAUGGGAUUGUAUAUAGAACAUCUAUCAAUAGUUCAGCAUUGUUAGUUUGCAAUGAAGGCUUCAAACCUUUAACAGAUGAUAAGAUAUAUUGUCUACCUACAGGAAAGUGGUCUUCUAACAGUCUCCAUUGUAUUCCAAUAGAAUGUAAGAGAAAUCCUAUUAUUCCAUUUGGAAGAGGACACCUUAUUGAUGGAAAUUCAGUUUAUGGAUCCAGACUUCAAAUUAAAUGCGACCUUGGUUAUGCUGCAAUUGAAUCAGAUCUACGGCAAUGUCAACAGGAUGCUUCUUGGGGAAACUUAGAUAUAUGUCUUGUGGAUGUCAUAUUGAAGGUUCUCCUCCAGUUAUUCAAUGUCUUCCUAAUGGAACAUGGACUCAUACCUUUGCAGUCUGUCGUAACAUGAAUAGAAGUGACUUGAAAAUGUGGACAUUGAAUUCUAUGUUAUUAACAACAGUUGGAGUUGGAACAACAAUUCUUUUUCUUGUCCUGUGCGUCUUGUUAUUGAAAAAGAGGCUCUAUUUAAAGUCAACAGUAUUCCAGUCAAAUGAUGC
rnacentral:misc_RNA from 1 species